rnacentral:rRNA from 1 species
AGCUCCAAUAGCGUAUAUUAAAGUUGUUGCAGUUAAAAAGCUCGUAGUUGGAUUUCGGAGUGGGCCUGUCGGUCGGCCGCAAGGUCUGUUACUGACUGGUCUGCUCUUCUUUGCAAAGACUGCAUGUGCUCUUGACUGAGUGUGUGUAGGAUUUACAACGUUUACUUUGAAAAAAUUAGAGUGUUCAAAGCAGGCUAUCGGCUUGAAUACAUGAGCAUGGAAUAAUGGAAUAGGACCUUGGUUCUAUUUUGUUGGUUUCUAGAACCGAGGUAAUGAUUAAGAGGGACAAUUGGGGGCAUCCGUAUUUCGUUGUCAGAGGUGAAAUUCUUGGAUUUACGAAAGACGAACAACUGCGAAAGCACUUGCCAAGAGUGUUUUCAUUAAUCAAGAACGAAAGUAC